AAUUUAAUAGAACUGACAUUUUGUUUCAGUUAUUAAAUGGUUUAUUUCUGACAGAACAAGUUAACAUGGCUCGGCCAAAAUGAACAUCAAGAUCAGCUUUCAUGUAUUACCCAUGAUGAAGAUCUGUAUUUGUGGGAAAAUGAUGAUGUCUCCCCCAAGUUCACUGUAAAAAGAGAACAGCUGAAAUCUUCAUUUCAGGACACUCAGCAUGUUGAUUAUUUAGUGGAAACUUUUCCUGACAACCAACCAAACUCUGUCCAGUUGCUCACAGGAACAGCUAGUGGUCAAUGUUUGUUGUGGACUGUCAGCAAGGAGAAGAACACAUUGUUUUCUAUAUUGAAUGGUGGUCACCAAGGGAUAAUUCGAGCUGCUCAGUUGAUUGAAGAGAGUCAAACAAUUUUAACUGGAGCAGAAGAUGGCAAGAUUUGCAUAUGGAUAAAAGAAACCUCUUCUGAAAACUUCAAGGCUCUGUCUGGAGUCAAAGAAAAGCUCUCCCAGUACAGGAUACAGCCUUACUAAAGAAAAAAAAAAGGCUUAAUGGUUGAAGCCAUGUGACAUUGCAGAUCUUAAAUGUUUGUGUCUAUGGUGCACGAUGAGACUUGAAACCAACAUUUUUGCUGAAUUUAUUAAAGAAAAAGACUGUAUUUCAAUCUCAUCAGAAAUAAUGUUUGAAGUUUGAUAUGCAUAUGACAACUCUGAUACGCUCUAUGGAUUACAGAAUAUUCAUGUAUAUUAAUGAGAAAUCACUCCUAUGGGUUGGUCAUGUUUAGUUUAGCAUAAAUGAUUUUCUUAAACUCUA